rnacentral:rRNA from 1 species
ACGAACGCUGGCGGCAUGCCUAACACAUGCAAGUCGAACGAGACCUUCGGGUCUAGUGGCGCACGGGUGCGUAACGCGUGGGAACCUGCCCUUAGGUUCGGAAUAACUCCCCGAAAGGGGUGCUAAUACCGGAUAAUGUCUUCGGACCAAAGAUUUAUCGCCUUUGGAUGGGCCCGCGUUGGAUUAGCUAGUUGGUAGGGUAAAAGCCUACCAAGGCGACGAUCCAUAGCUGGUCUGAGAGGAUGAUCAGCCACACUGGGACUGGGACACGGCCCAGACUCCGACGGGAGGCAGCAGUGGGGAAUAUUGGACAAUGGGCGAAAGCCUGAUCCAGCAAUGCCGCGUGAGUGAUGAAGGCCUUAGGGUUGUAAAGCUCUUUUACCCGGGAUGAUAAUGACAGUACCGGGAGAAUAAGCUCCGGCUAACUCCGU